rnacentral:rRNA from 1 species
UACGAAGGGGGGCUAGCGUUGCUCGGAAUCACUGGGGCGUAAAGGGUGCGUAGGCGGGUCUUUAAGUCAGUGGUGAAAUCUCUGGGCUUAACCCCAGAAAAUUGCCAUUGAUACUGCAGGGGCUUUGAGUACAGUUGCCCGUUUGGGCGGGAAUAAUGACAUGUAGUGGUGAAAUACAUAGAGAUGUCAUAGAACACCGAUUGCGAAGGCAGCUAACGAAACUGUAACUGACGCUGAGGCUCGAAAGUGUGGGGGAUCAAACAGG